CAGACCUCUAAUCGGAAAAGACUACCGCU
rnacentral:rRNA from 1 species